rnacentral:rRNA from 1 species
GACGUAGGGCGCGAGCGUUUGUCCGGAUUUAUUGGGCGUAAAGAGCUCGUAGGCGGCUUGUCGCGUCGGCUGUGAAAACCCGUGGCUCAACCAUGUGGUCUGCAGUCGAUACGGGCAGGCUAGAAUUCGGUUAGGGGAGACUGGAAUUCCCGGUGUAGUGGUGGAAUGCGUAGAUAUCGGGAGGAACACCAGUGGCGAAGGCGGCUUCCUGGACCUGUUCUGACACUGAGGAGCGAAAGCGUGGGGAGCGAUCCGG